CACUGCGCCGUGUCGGGUGAGCGGAAACGCCCCCGGAAGUUCUGCUAGUAAGACUUUGACAACACGUAGCGCAGUUUU
rnacentral:sRNA from 12 species